rnacentral:rRNA from 1 species
AUUGAACGCUGGCGGCAGGCUUAACACAUGCAAGUCGAGCGGAGAUGAGGUGCUUGCACCUUAUCUUAGCGGCGGACGGGUGAGUAAUGCUUAGGAAUCUGCCUAUUAGUGGGGGACAACAUUCCGAAAGGAAUGAUAAUACCGCAUACGUCCUACGGGAGAAAGCAGGGGAUCUUCGGACCUUGCGCUAACAGCUGAGUCUAAGUCGGAUUAGCUAGUUGGUGGGGUAAAGGCCUACCAAGGCGACGAUCUGUAGCGGGUCUGAGAGGAUGAUCCGCCACACUGGGACUGAGACACGGCCCAGACUCCUACGGGAGGCAGCAGUGGGGAAUAUUGGACAAUGGGGGGAACCCUGAUCCAGCCAUGCCGCGUGUGUGAAGAAGGCCUUAUGGUUGUAAAGCACUUUAAGCGAGGAGGAGGCUACUGAGACUAAUACUCUUGGAUAGUGGACGUUACUCGCAGAAUAAGCACCGGCUAACUCUGUGCCAGCCGCCGCCGUAAAAC